rnacentral:tmRNA from 1 species
AUUUUAGAAAAAAAGCAUUAUACUGAUUACAGUUUGGGUUUACUCAAACUAUAAUACGAAAAGCCGUAUGAAAUAGAUAUAUUGGACCCGAGGGCAGUACUCGGCGCCUCCACCAGUUUAAGGGGGCGAAAUAGGUUUGACAGUGUAUAGUAAAGAUAUUUGUGCUGUAUUCGGCAAGACACCACCGUUAUCGGUUCAAAUCAAAUAAACGCAAAUGAUAAUUUUGCACCUGUUGCUGUAGCUGCUUAAGCCAAGCAACAAAGCUAAAUUCUUUAAGCUAUGGUUAGCAUAAAGUGGGGGGUGAGCCACCCAGCAACAGAACGGCU